UACGAAGGGGGCUAGCGUUGCUCGGAAUCACUGGGCGUAAAGCGCACGUAGGCGGAUUGUUAAGUCAGGGGUGAAAUCCUGGAGCUCAACUCCAGAACUGCCUUUGAUACUGGCGAUCUCGAGUCCGGGAGAGGUGAGUGGAACUGCGAGUGUGGAGGUGAAAUUCGUAGAUAUUCGCAAGAACACCAGUAGCGAAGGCGGCUCACUGGCCCGGUACUGACGCUGAGGUGCGAAAGCGUGGGGAGCAAACAGG
rnacentral:rRNA from 1 species